rnacentral:rRNA from 1 species
AACGAACGCUGGCGGCAUGCCUAACACAUGCAAGUCGAACGAAGGCUUCGGCCUUAGUGGCGCACGGGUGCGUAACGCGUGGGAAUCUGCCCUUUGGUUCGGAAUAACAGCUGGAAACGGCUGCUAAUACCGGAUGAUGACGAAAGUCCAAAGAUUUAUCGCCAGAGGAUGAGCCCGCGUUGGAUUAGGUAGUUGGUGGGGUAAAGGCCUACCAAGCCGACGAUCCAUAGCUGGUCUGAGAGGAUGAUCAGCCACACUGGGACUGAGACACGGCCCAGACUCCUACGGGAGGCAGCAGUGGGGAAUAUUGGACAAUGGGCGCAAGCCUGAUCCAGCAAUGCCGCGUGAGUGAUGAAGGCCCUAGGGUUGUAAAGCUCUUUUACCCGGGAAGAUAAUGACGGUACCGGGAGAAUAAGCCCCGGCUAACUCCGUG